rnacentral:misc_RNA from 1 species
GAUGAAGAACGUAGCGAAAUGCGAUAAUUAAUGUGAAUUGCAGAAUUCCGUGAAUCAUCGAGUCUUUGAACGCACAUUGCGCCUUAUGGCAUUGCGUGAGGCAUGCCCAUCUCAGCGUUAGAAAAUAUUCUCAAAUUUUAGAUUUGUGCUAAAAUUUGGAUCAUGUCAAGGAAGCUAUUACUAUUAUUGUGAUCGCUCUUUGGAAAUUGAUAGGUCUUUGAGUUGCUACUCAUAGAACGUGAUGAAUCUUUCUUCGUUCUAUUGUAAUUCACUCUGGUAGUCCUAAAACUUGUAUGCCUGUUGCAUAUCUUGUAAUUUGACCUGAGAUUGGGUAGGGAUACCCGCUGAACUUAAGCAUAUCAAUAAGCGGAGGA